rnacentral:rRNA from 1 species
UACGAAGGGGGCUAGCGUUGCUCGGAAUCACUGGGCGUAAAGCGCACGUAGGCGGAUGUGUCAGUCAGGGGUGAAAUCCCGGAGCUCAACUUCGGAACUGCCUUUGAUACAGCACGUCUUGAGUCCGAUAGAGGUGGGUGGAAUUCCUAGUGUAGAGGUGAAAUUCGUAGAUAUUAGGAAGAACACCGAAUGGCGAAGGCAGCUCGCU